rnacentral:sRNA from 1 species
UUUUUUUUUCCUCCUUUUUUGUUUGUUUUCACUUGUU